UGAUGUGAUGUAUUUUCGACACACCUUUUCUCGUUAUAAACUAUAUUUUUGUGUGUCGAAAUGUAUUCAAAUUUGGGUUUUGAGUACAUGCUUGGUUCUCUUGCCCCUCGGGGCGGUAUUAUGGUGCUUGGUAUGUUUUUGGUAUAUUUCAGGUGUCAUAUGACGUUUGGAGAUAAACCAAGACAUGAUGGGGAGGCCGGAACAACUCAAAGCGUUCGACUUUGGAAGAAAGCGUCACUGUUUAGUAUUUUGAGCAUAACUCAUCGCUCCAAAGUCCAAUUGAUGCAAGGUCAGCGGCGUUGGAACGAUAAUUCGAUUGUCUACAACUUUGAUGU
rnacentral:lncRNA from 1 species